rnacentral:rRNA from 1 species
CCUACGGGAGGCAGCAGUGGGGAAUUUUCCGCAAUGGGCGCAAGCCUGACGGAGCAAUACCGCGUGAGGGAGGAAGGCUCUUGGGUCGUAAACCUCUUUUCUCAGGGAAGAACACAAUGACGGUACCUGAGGAAUCAGCAUCGGCUAACUCCGUGCCAGCAGCCGCGGUAAUACGGAGGGUGCAAGCGUUAUCCGGAAUGAUUGGGCGUAAAGCGUCCGCAGGUGGCAGUGUAAGUCUGCUGUCAAAGGUCAGGGCUCAACCCUGAACAGGCAGUGGAAACUACACAGCUAGAGUGCGGUGGGGGCAGAGGGAAUUCCCAGUGUAGCGGUGAAAUGCGUAGAGAUUGGGAAGAACACCGGUGGCGAAAGCGCUCUGCUAGGCCGCAACUGACACUCAUGGACGAAAGCUAGGGGAGCGAAUGGGAUUAGAUACCCCAGUAGUCCUAGCCGUAAACGAUGGAUACUAGGCGUAGCUCGUAUCGACCCGAGCUGUGCCGUAGCUAACGCGUUAAGUAUCCCGCCUGGGGAGUACGCUCGCAAGAGUGAAACUCAAAUGAAUUGACGG